rnacentral:rRNA from 1 species
UACGGGGGGGGCAAGCGUUGUUCGGAAUUACUGGGCGUAAAGGGCUCGUAGGUGGCCAACUAAGUCAGACGUGAAAUCCCUCGGCUUAACCGGGGAACUGCGUCUGAUACUGGAUGGCUUGAGGUUGGGAGAGGGAUGCGGAAUUCCAGGUGUAGCGGUGAAAUGCGUAGAUAUCUGGAGGAACACCGGUGGCGAAGGCGGCAUCCUGGACCGGUAUUGACGCUGAGGCGCGAAAGCCAGGGGAGCAAACGGG